GCGCCAUUUUUUCUAUAUUUUCUGUAUUUCCUCUUACAGCUCCAACUUCUAUAUUCUCAGAAUUUUGCCCCUCAACACCAUCAACCAGGUUCAUCAUGCUUUCCAAUCUCUUCACAUGAUCUCCAAGGAAGGAACUCAGACUUUUUUUGAAGGCUUCAGAACAAAUGCCACCAAGAGCCAUAUCAUACUUUACUAGUAAAUCUUCCACCAUAUUGGAGAUUUCUGAAGGAGAUACGUAGUCCUCUUCUCCAGCAGGAC
rnacentral:misc_RNA from 1 species